rnacentral:lncRNA from 1 species
GUGACUGGGAAUGAAGGUGCUCCAGCUUCCCCUCUGAGUUCCAGGACUGAAACUCCGGCAGAUCACAUGGAUAUGUCAUGGCUUUUUAGUUCCUUUGAGAGCUGCCAGCUCAAAGGCCAAAUGUCGGCCAGGUCUGUCUGCAGAAGUGCCCCCAGGGAGGGCCUUGCUGGUUUCUCGGCUCCUUCCUGCGAUGGAGACCAGUUGGAAUCCCAUGGGUCCGCAAAGAGGAAACAGAGGAAAGGAUACACCUAGAAGAGGGAAGUACUACUGGUGGUCAUCCCGUGUCCUAAAGGAACCUGUGAAGAAAAUGGAGAAGGCAGCGCAUGGUGGGACUAAAGGGACUGACCAAGAGACUGUGCAGAAGGAGCCAUUGCAGGAAAGCAGCAGUGACACACGGCCAGUCUCUGAUAGAAAAACACAGGCAGAACAAGCAGCUGGAUUGCCAGGGGUGGAUGUUGGGAAAAUCACAACGGCCGCUGUUGGCAAAGAGCUGCGAAAACACCACAUCCCAGUGAUUGCUGUGGUCUCCGCUGUGCUGCUGUCUGUGCUGAUGCUGGCCUGUGUUCCUAUGCUGUGGAUGUGGAAAAAAUAUCUGGCACGCAAGACAGAGCGGACAGCUGCAAGACAAGCUGACUGGGAGAGAGAUCAAAACAGAGAUGAAGGCAGAGCGGAGCUGGGGGAGGCUGCAAAGGAGGAUGUCCUCGACCAAGGAAAAAUCAUCUCCAGGGCAUUCUCCUGGUCCUUUGAAGCAGAAUUUGCUGACCUGUGCAACAGAAUCAGAGCAGACCCCUCCCUUCAGCCCACGCAUCCCAGCAGCUCUCCUACUGUCAACGUCUCUUCCCUCAGUAGCUGC